rnacentral:rRNA from 1 species
GAGUUAGUGGCGGACGGGUGAGUAACACGUGGGAACGUGCCUUUAGGUUCGGAAUAACUCAGGGAAACUUGUGCUAAUACCGAAUGUGCCCUUCGGGGGAAAGAUUUAUCGCCUUUAGAGCGGCCCGCGUCUGAUUAGCUAGUUGGUGAGGUAAAGGCUCACCAAGGCGACGAUCAGUAGCUGGUCUGAGAGGAUGAUCAGCCACAUUGGGACUGAGACACGGCCCAAACUCCUACGGGAGGCAGCAGUGGGGAAUCUUGCGCAAUGGGCGAAAGCCUGACGCAGCCAUGCCGCGUGAAUGAUGAAGGUCUUAGGAUUGUAAAAUUCUUUCACCGGGGACGAUAAUGACGGUACCCGGAGAAGAAGCCCCGGCUAACUUCGUGCCAGCAGCCGCGGUAAUACGAAGGGGGCUAGCGUUGCUCGGAAUUACUGGGCGUAAAGGGAGCGUAGGCGGACAUUUAAGUCAGGGGUGAAAUCCCGGGGCUCAACCUCGGAAUUGCCUUUGAUACUGGGUGUCUUGAGUAUGAGAGAGGUGUGUGGAACUCCGAGUGUAGAGGUGAAAUUCGUAGAUAUUCGGAAGAACACCAGUGGCGAAGGCGACAC